rnacentral:miRNA from 12 species
CACUCCUGGUGGAGUGACUGCUCAGAGGGAUCGGGCUGCUUCAUGGUACUUCACGUGGGCUUCAUGCCCACUGGAAAGUCUGUGUCCAUAGCUGCAGUG